UCGAUUCCCUUAGUAGCGGCGAGCGAAACGGGAAGAGCCCAAACCAACAAGCUUGCUUGUUGGGGUUGUAGGACACUCUAUACGGAGUUACAAAGGACGACAUUAGACGAAUCAUCUGGAAAGAUGAAUCAAAGAAGGUAAUAAUCCUGUAGUCGAAAAUGUUGUCUCUCUUGAGUGGAUCCUGAGUACGACGGAGCACGUGAAAUUCCGUCGGAAUCUGGGAGGACCAUCUCCUAAGGCUAAAUACUCUCUAGUGACCGAUAGUGAACCAGUACCGUGAGGGAAAGGUGAAAAGCACCCCGGAAGGGGAGUGAAAUAGAACCUGAAACCGUGUGCUUACAAGUAGUCAGAGCCCGUUAAUGGGUGAUGGCGUGCCUUUUGUAGAAUGAACCGGCGAGUUACGAUUUGAUGCAAGGUUAAGCAGUAAAUGUGGAGCCGUAGCGAAAGCGAGUCUGAAUAGGGCGUUUAGUAUUUGGUCGUAGACCCGAAACCAGGUGAUCUACCCUUGGUCAGGUUGAAGUUCAGGUAACACUGAAUGGAGGACCGAACCGACUUACGUUGAAAAGUGAGCGGAUGAACUGAGGGUAGCGGAGAAAUUCCAAUCGAACCUGGAGAUAGCUGGUUCUCUCCGAAAUAGCUUUAGGGCUAGCCUCAAGUGAUGAUUAUUGGAGGUAGAGCACUGUUUGGACGAGGGGCCCCUCUCGGGUUACCGAAUUCAGACAAACUCCGAAUGCCAAUUAAUUUAACUUGGGAGUCAGAACAUGGGUGAUAAGGUCCGUGUUCGAAAGGGAAACAGCCCAGACCACCAGCUAAGGUCCCAAAAUAUAUGUUAAGUGGAAAAGGAUG
rnacentral:rRNA from 1 species